AGUUGACACCUAAGUUAACAGUAUUGUGACCAGCAGAAUAAUGACCCCCCAGGAUGUCCCUGAUGCAAUUUGCGGAACUUAGGACUCUCACCCUGUUUCCUGCACAGGACCCAGUAUGGUUCUUAUUUGAAUUACGGCAAAUUUGAAGACAUUGGUGGUCAUGCAGAUUUCCCAAGAGGCAAGGGGGCCUGGCCACUCCAUGCAGGACCCCAGGACUGGGAUGCCCAUAUUGUGACUCGACCUGCUCACUCCCCAGGGCAAGGGUCUACCCUUGUGGACCUUCUCCUUGCAGAUCCCACCAAGGAGCCCAGGAGCUGACCCAGGAAACCCCCGAACACCUGACUGGCCUCAGGAUCCCUUUACUGAAAGCUGCUUCAGAGGCAGACCCCAUAUGUCCUCUGACCUCGAGAAUCAACUGAACUGCAUUUCUCCCCACUCCUGACCUGGCAUAAAGGAGACAGAAUUGGAAUAAGGAGGGAAGAUGAUGACAAACACAGGUGGCGGACCUGGAAGGACCCCCAUUUCCUGUCCCAUUCCCUGGCUGGGGGCACCCACACUGGCUGAAGAUAAACUGUUCCAUGCUCUCCUUCUGCUGGUUGGCGGUCUUCAGAUGCUCAGCUGUGCUCUGAAGGAGACUCUCCUGUUUGGAUAGUUUGGUUCUCAGUUCCAGAAGCUCCCUUUUCAUGGACUCUCCCUGGGAAGAAAAACAGGCUCUGUCAACGGUCAGAAGGCCUAAAGCACCCUGUGUUCGGUGGCUCUUUACAGCUCCAGAUAGGAUUCUACAAUCUUCUCAAGUAGUUUUGGAGCAGAUUUCCCUCAUUAAAGCCUUCAAUCCCUCCAGCAGGUGGUGGUGGCUCAGGAUGCGCCAUGAGGUGGGAACACUGAGGACCUGGAAGCCCGGUGCAGAUUAGCAGAGGCUACACUCCUGUUGCUGCAGAGAACCUGACUCCAGGCCACACUGAAGCUCCCAGCUGUGAACAAGAGCUCAGAUUUCAUGCUGACGUAGUUAUAUCACUUGGGCAUCACAAGUCACCAACCAGAAAGCAGUCUGAGAUCUGAGAGCACCAUGGGGAGGCUGACUCUCCCCAGGCCUGACCCUGUGAUGCAGAUGUAAGUGAUUUUCUGGAAUUCCAGGGGGUGGCUACAAGAGGCUGGGUGACUCCUGGUGACAUUCUGUGAUCCUGCCUAUGUGGACCUGGAGGUGGGGGUGGGCUAGGAAGGGAAAGGAGAUGUUGAUGUUUUAACAUGGUCCUGAACUUCAGCGCAGCCAAACUUCAGAAAGUUAAAGAAACGGAACAUUUAGGGGUUACCAGGGCUCUCGUGUCUCUGCCUCCUCCAUGUCCUUUCCUUCUGCUCUUUGAUUACUUAUCCUGGGGGGUCAGGGCUGGGGGGAGAGGGGAUGGAGUCAGAGCUGCACUGAAAGCAGCCACCGCGGAGGAGAGGUCUCCCUCCAGGGACGCCCCCUCAGGUCCCCUUGGUUCCAGCUACCCAUUCGGCUCCUGACCUUCAGGAUCUGCUGACCAAGGAGGCAGAAGGAUAUUUGGGGGCAGAACCAGUAGGGGAUGCUGGCUUCUUACCGC